rnacentral:lncRNA from 1 species
AAAUUUUAUAAUCCUUAUGCUAUGAUCGCUUCCACUGGAGGGAUAGGGCAAAACCUUCUAUGAUACUGCCACUCUCAUUGCCUACCACCAAACCCAACCUCUGGAUUUCCAUCAAGCCCAGACUCAGGAUUUCCGUCAAGCACAGACUCAGGAUUUCCGUCAAGACCAGCAUCAGUGCCUCCAGUGUCACCUGAGAGGUCUCCGAACCCGGUAUUUUCAUCAUACCCACCAUCAGUACCACCGGCACCACCAGCAACACCAAAAUUUGAACUCCCACUACCAUAACCUCCUAAGUUUCCACCCAUAGAGUCAGCAGCUCCAUCAUAGCCAGCAUUAUUGCCACUACCAGAACCACCGGUAACACCAAAAUUUGGACUCCCACUACCAUAACCUCCAAAGUUUCCACCCAUAGAGUCACC